rnacentral:rRNA from 1 species
UUGAACGCUGGCGGCAGGCCUAACACAUGCAAGUCGAGCGGAUGAAGGGAGCUUGCUCCUGGAUUCAGCGGCGGAUGGGUGAGUAAUGCCUAGGAAUCUGCCUGGUAGUGGGGGAUAACGUCCGGAAACGGGCGCUAAUACCGCAUACGUCCUGAGGGAGAAAGUGGGGGAUCUUCGGACCUCACGCUAUCAGAUGAGCCUAGGUCGGAUUAGCUAGUUGGUGGAGUAAAGGCCUACCAAGGCGACGAUCCGUAACUGGUCUGAGAGGAUGAUCAGUCACACUGGAACUGAGACACGGUCCAGACUCCUACGGGAGGCAGCAGUGGGGAAUAUUGGACAAAGGGCGAAAGCCUGAUCCAGCCAUGCCGCGUGUGUGAAGAAGGUCUUCGGAUUGUAAAGCACUUUAAGUUGGGAGGAAGGGCAGUAAGUUAAUACCUUGCUGUUUUGACGUUACCAACAGAAUAAGCACCGGCUAACUUCGUG